rnacentral:rRNA from 1 species
CGGCGGACGGGUGAGUAACGCGUGGGUAACCUGCCUCAUACAGGGGGAUAACAGUUAGAAAUGACUGCUAAUACCGCAUAAGACCACGGUACCGCAUGGUACAGUGGUAAAAACUCCGGUGGUAUGAGAUGGACCCGCGUCUGAAUUAGGUAGUUGGUGGGGUAACGGCCUACCAAGCCGACGAUCAGUAGCCGACCUGAGAGGGUGACCGGCCACAUUGGGACUGAGACACGGCCCAG